rnacentral:rRNA from 1 species
AGUGGAUGGGGAGCAACCUAGUUGUGCGUGUGUAAAGGUAGUGCCAAGAAAAGCGAUGAUCAUGUUGAAAAUCAAUUCCCGGUACCCGAAACCGACACAGGUGGGCAAGUAGAGAAUACUAAGGGGCGCGAGGUAACUCUCUCCAAGGAACUCGGCAAAAUGACCCCGUAACUUAGGGAGAAGGGGUGCCACCGAGAGGUGGCCGCAGUGAAGAGGCCCAGGCGACUGUUUAGCAAAAACAUAGGUCUCUGCAAACUCGAAAGAGGAGGUAUAGGGGCUGACGCCUGCCCAGUGCCGGAAGGUUAAAGAAGUUGGUCAGUCUUAGGAUGAAGCUAGCGACUGAAGCCCCGGUGAACGGCGGCCGUAACUAUAACGGUCCUAAGGUAGCGAAAUUCCUUGUCGGGUAAGUUCCGACCCGCGCGAAAGGCGUAACGAUCUGGGCGCUGUCUCGGAGAGAGGCUCGGCGAAAUAGGAUUGUCUGUGAAGAUACGGACUACCUGCAUUUGGACAGAAAGACCCUAUGAAGCUUUACUAUAGCUUGGAAUUGUGUUCGGGCUUCCUGUGCGCAGGAUAGGUGGGAGGCGUAGAAGGUAUUCUUGUGGGGAUACUGGAGCCAACGGUGAGAUACCACUCUCAGGAGGCUAGAAUUCUAACUUAAUUAAGGACAGUUUCAGGUGGGUAGUUUGACUGGGGCGGUCGCCUCCAAAAAGGUAACGGAGGCGUACAAAGGUUCCCUCAGACUGGUUGGAAAUCAGUCGAAGAGUGCAAAGGCAGAAGGGAGCUUGACUGCGAGAAGUACAGUUCGAGCAGGGUGGAAACACGGUCUUAGUGAUCCGACGGUGCUGUGUGGAAGGGCCGUCGCUCAACGGAUAAAAGUUACUCUAGGAUAACAGGCUGAUCUCCCCCAAGAGUUCACAUCGACGGGGAGGUUUGGCACCUCGAUGUCGGCUCAUCGCAACCUGGGGCGGAAGUACGUCCCAAGGGUUGGGCUGUUCGCCCAUUAAAGCGGUACGUGAGCUGGGUUCAGAACGUCGUGAGACAGUUCGGUCCAUAUCCGAUGUAGGCGUGAGAAUAUUGAGAGGAGCCUUCCUUAGUACGAGAGGGCCGGGAAGGACGCACCGCUGGUGUACCUGUUAUGAUGCCAAUUGUAAACGCAGGGUAGCCAAGUGCGGAGAGGAUAACCGCUGAAAGCAUCUAAGUGGGAAGCCCACCUCAAGAUGAGUAUUCUGGUGUAAGGUCACGGGAAGACGACCCGUAAAUAGGCACGAGGUGGAAGUGCAGAGAUGUAUGAAGCCGAAGUGUACUAAUAGACCGUCGGCUUGAC